rnacentral:rRNA from 3 species
UCCGUAGGUGAACCUGCGGAGGGAUCAUUACACAAAUAUGAAGGCGGGCUGGAACCUCUCGGGGUUACAGCCUUGCUGAAUUAUUCACCCUUGUCUUUUGCGUACUUCUUGUUUCCUUGGUGGGUUCGCCCACCACUAGGACAAACAUAAACCUUUUGUAAUUGCAAUCAGCGUCAGUAACAAAUUAAUAAUUACAACUUUCAACAACGGAUCUCUUGGUUCUGGCAUCGAUGAAGAACGCAGCGAAAUGCGAUAAGUAGUGUGAAUUGCAGAAUUCAGUGAAUCAUCGAAUCUUUGAACGCACAUUGCGCCCUUUGGUAUUCCAAAGGGCAUGCCUGUUCGAGCGUCAUUUGUACCCUCAAGCUUUGCUUGGUGUUGGGCGUCUUGUCUCUAGCUUUGCUGGAGACUCGCCUUAAAGUAAUUGGCAGCCGGCCUACUGGUUUCGGAGCGCAGCACAAGUCGCACUCUCUAUCAGCAAAGGUCUAGCAUCCAUUAAGCCUUUUUUCAACUUUUGACCUCGGAUCAGGUAGGGAUACCCGCUGAACUUAAGCAUAUCAAUAAGCGGAGGA